rnacentral:rRNA from 1 species
CGCUGGCGGCGUGCUUAAUACAUGCAAGUCAACUUGACUUUAGAUAGCAAUAUCGAAAAGUAGGGUGGCGCACGGGUGCGUAACGCGUAGGUAAUCUGCCCUGAGGUCUGACAUAACCCGUCGAAAGGCGGGCUAACAUCAGAUGAUAUAUAAUCACGACAUCGUGGAAAUAUCAAAUCUUCGGAGCCUUGGGAUGAGCCUGCGUCUGAUUAGGUAGUUGGCGGAGUAAUAGCCCACCAAGCCUACGAUCAGUAGCUGGUCUGAGAGGAUGAUCAGCCACACUGGAACUGAGACACGGUCCAGACUCCUACGGGAGGCAGCAGUAAGGAAUAAUGCUCAAUGGGGGAAACCCUGAAGCAGCAACGCCGCGUGAAGGAUGAAAUACUUUUGUAUGUAAACUUCUGUAAGAUGGGAAAAAUAUUCUCCUCGGGAGAAUUGAUUGUACCAUCAGAGUAAGCCCCGGCUAACUACGUG